GGUUUUCUUAGGCCUCAUCUGCUACUACUGAUGCAUCCAGUUCAGAAGAACAAGUUUUGAUAUGGAUUAUUACUUUAAAAAUCCAUCUAUGGCCAUAUAAAAAGAAGCACAAGUUGAGCAUUUAACAACAGGAAAAAGAAAAACUACUCGGGAAUAAGCAUCCUACUUUUAACAGGAAGGAAACCUAUUUCAUUUUUAAGAUCUGCUGUUGCAUCCUGACAUCACCAUUUGUUGGCCUUGUCACUCACAGGUAAAUCACUUAAUUUGAUAAUUUAGAAUCUCAGUAUCCAUAUCUAAAAAAAUGGGGAUC
rnacentral:lncRNA from 1 species